GAUCCUGGCUCAGGAUGAACGCUAGCUACAGGCUUAACACAUGCAAGUCGAGGGGGCAGCAUGGUCUUAGCUUGCUAAGGCCGAUGGCGACUGGCGCACGGGUGAGUAACACGUAUCCAACCUGCCGUCUACUCUUGGACAGCCUUCUGAAAGGAAGAUUAAUACAAGAUGGCAUCAUGAGUUCACAUGUUCACAUGAUUAAAAGGUAUUCCGGUAGACGAUGGGGGA
rnacentral:rRNA from 1 species